rnacentral:rRNA from 1 species
AUGAAAGGAGAUGUAGGGCAGGGGACUAGACCGUCGUCCAGCAACCCAAUUCCGGACCAUACUAGCGUUGAUGGGAGGACGGAGGAGGGGGCGGAUCACCACCAGGAAGACGAUGAGGAGUGGGAUAAUCUGGGCCACGAUUCAGCCUUGUAAGAUGCGUUUGAAGGAUUGAAACUGCACGGGGAGGAGGAGGAAGAUUUAGAUCUGUCGGGAGAAGUGGAGGAGUUGAUCAAGGAGGUGCGAUGGCUAUGCCUUUUUAGGGUUCACACAAUGAGGCCGUUUAGCCACGCUGCGGUGCUAAAUUCUCUGAGGAAUGCGUGGUCGUGUGCGCAAGGAGUUACUUUCAAUAUCAAGGGGCCUAAUCUCUUCCUAGCUCAGUGCCAUUGUUUGGGGGAUUGGAAGCGGGUGAUGGAAGGAGGGCCUUGGCAAUUUAGGAGGGAUCCGGUCGUCAUUGUUGAGUAUGAUGGGUUUACGAACGUUGCUGAAUUUGCCCUGGAUAUGUAUCCACUAUGGGCUAGAAUUAAAGGUCUCCCGGAUGGGCUAACGAGGAAGGAGCUGGCUGAAAAAGUUGCCAAAAAAGUGGGUAUGCCGCCCUUUACUGUUGCUAUUAAUGAAGGAAGAAUUAACCCAUCGAGCUUUCUGAGGGUUAGGGUUUUUGUUGAUGUCCAUAAACCCUUGGUGCGUUUUGUCCCCAUCACUUUGAAAGAAUUCAAGCGAUACCCGGUGAGCUACGAGAAACUACCAAACUUUUGCUUUUUUUGUGGCUGCAUGGGCCAUGUGGUUGAGGAAUGUGGUGAUGGAGUUCAUGAUCCUUCGGAGUGUGAUUGGGGGGAUUGGUUGCACUGGAGUAAUGAACAACCUUUGGGGAGUGCAAGUAGUGGUAGAGGAGGAGGGGGUAUAGCGGGAGGCAGGGGUCGGAGUGGAGCUAGAGGUGGUUUUAGGGGAGGGGUGGAGGUAGAGGAGGAGCAGGAAACAGAGGGAGAUUUGCAAUGCAUACGGAGGCCUCUGAGGGUGGUGCCGUUUCCACCGACCCAACUAACGAAGGUGUGA